GUUUCUAAAUGUUACUUCAGAACAAGCUGUGGUCAAGACGAGUCAUGUUCACUGUCAAGAUAUCCUGACGAGUAUGGUGUAGAUAUUUACAGUCUUGGUUGCUUGUCAAAAAGUGUUUGUGAAAUGAUAGAAGGUAUAAACAAAGCAAUUUAUGGACGGAGGACAGUGACAUCUUUAACAC